rnacentral:tmRNA from 1 species
GGGGGCGACUGGUUUCGACAGGGUGUGUUUGAGACGGGCAGCAGGCCGUGGUCUCCUCGCCACGUAAAACAGGGGUACCGUCAAAUGAAUUGACAACAACUCUUACCAGGGCUAUGCCCUCGCUGCUUAAUUAACAAGUAGCCGCGGAUCCGGAGGUCUUCUCCUGCUUCCGGUGACGCGUCAUUCAGGGAGAUGCACUGCGCGGACGUAGCGGGUAUGCCGCGCAGCAAAGAUCGAACCGGCUAGGGCGUGCGGAGCGGGUCGCUCGGCACCAAGCGCCCGAAACCUUUCGAGCGACUGAGCCUGGAGACACCUAUCAGGAACGUGCUUUGGACCGGAGUUCGAUUCUCCGCGCCUCCACCA